AACGUAUUCCCUCCGUUUCAAAAUUCUUGUCUUAGAUUUGUCCAGAUACAGAUGAACCUAAUACUAAAACAUAACUUGAUACAUCCGUAUUUAAACAAAUUUAAGACAAGAAUUUUGAGACGGAGGGAGUAUCAU
rfam:Triticum aestivum genome assembly, contig: Triticum_aestivum_CS42_TGACv1_scaffold_621499_7DS